UACAGAGGGUGCAAGCGUUAAUCGGAAUUACUGGGCGUAAAGCGCGCGUAGGUGGUUUGUUAAGUUGAAUGUGAAAUCCCCCGGGCUCAACCUGGGAACUGGCAUGCAAAACUGGCAAGCUAGAGUAUGGUAGAGGGUGGUGGAAUUUCCUGUGUAGCGGUGAAAUGCGUAGAUAUAGGAAGGAACACCAGUGGCGAAGG
rnacentral:rRNA from 1 species